CACGGGGGGGAGCAAGCGUUGUUCGGAUUCAUUGGGCGUAAAGGGCUCGUAGGUGGCUUUGUAAGUCGGAGGUGAAAUCCCACGGCUCAACCGUGGACACGCCUUCGAAACUGUGAAGCUUGAGGCUGGGAGAGGAGAUCGGAAUUCCUGGUGUAGCGGUGAAAUCGUAGAUAUCAGGAGGAACACCGGUGGCGAAGGCGGGAUCUCUGGGC
rnacentral:rRNA from 1 species